UUAAACAUGAAUUUUCAGUGGAUUCAGCUUUAUUCGGUGUCUUUUUUUUUCUCUCUUCUCAAUCUCUUUGUUUCCUUCCAAACCCUAAUCUCUCCAUUAUUCUGUUCAAUACAUGUCGAUGAUGGCGGGUAUACAAGCAGUGUGAUGUUCUCGAGGUCACUGUUGUUGGGUGCCAAAAAUUGAAAGACACCGAAUGGUUUUCAAGGCAAGAUCCGUAUGUCGUUUUGAGUAUAACGGCGCAAGAUACCUUACCAGAACUUGCAUAGAUGGUGGAAUGAACGAUGUUUUCCAAGAGAAGUUUAUGUUUACUUUGCUUGAAGGGCUUAAAGAUCUUAAGGUUGCUAGCAAUACACUCUCCACCGAUGACUUCAUUGGGAAAUUCUUAAGGAUUCAAUUGCAGAAGGUUCUUUCUCAGGGAUAUGACAAUUGCACCUAAAAUUUGCAGACUAAAACUGGGAGAAUUUUCCCAUGGGUGAUUGGGUUAGUUCAUCCUUUUAAACGUUACAAGAUAUGUCAUCGCAUGUGAAUGUUCGAUGAAGUUAAACAGAGGAGCUUGGACUGAUCAUGAAGACAAAUCUAGGAGUAAAGAGAUUUCAUCACCACUCCUGGUGAAGGCAAGUUGAGCACUCUUCCCAAACCAAGCUGGUAUGAAUCUAUCUAUCUAUCCAUCAUUACAUCUUCGACAUACAAUACCAGUCUAAGCUGUAACCUGUUUCUGUUGGCACAUGCAACAAAUAUUGAAUUUAUUAUGUUCUUUGCUUUCUUGCUUUUGUACUCAAUUUUCAACACAAAUGACAAUGUAUGAUAAUUGGUCGAGACUGAACCUGCGGGAGAAAGUGAGGGGUAUACAUUUUUCUAUACAUUAGGGAUUUUUGUUCAAUUGUUUUGUUGAGCACGUACACUUUUU